rnacentral:rRNA from 1 species
UACGUAGGCAGCGAGCGUUGUUCGGAGUUACUGGGCGUAAAGGGUGUGUAGGCGGUUGCUUAAGUUUGGUGUGAAAUCUCCCGCUCAACCGGGAGGGUGCGCCGAAUACUGAGUGACUAGAGUGCGGGAGAGGAAAGUGGAAUUCCUGGUGUAGCGGUGAAAUGACGUAGAUAUCAGGAGGAACACCGGUGGUGUAGACGGCUUUCUGGACCGUAACUGACGCUGAGACACGAAAGCGUGGGUAGCAAACAGG